rnacentral:sRNA from 1 species
UAAAAGCUUGCUUUUAAAGGUUAGCGGCGGACGGGUGAGUAACACGUGGGCAACCUACCUGUAAGACUGGGAUAACUUCGGGAAACCGGAGCUAAUACCGGAUAAUUCUUUUCUACACAUGUAGAAAAGCUGAAAGACGGUUUCGGCUGUCACUUACAGAUGGGCCCGCGGCGCAUUAGCUAGUUGGUGAGGUAAUGGCUCACCAAGGCAACGAUGCGUAGCCGACCUGAGAGGGUGAUCGGCCACACCGGGACUGAGACACGGCCCAGACUCCUACGGGAGGCAGCAGUGGGACUCCUACGGGAGGCAGCAGUGGGACUCCUAGGGGAGGCAGCAGUGGGGCAGUUGGCUCAGAACGAACGCUGGCGGCUCUCAUUGUUGAGGAUAAGCACUCCUACUGUCCUCAGCAGUG